ACCAAAGCCAAUAAUUCUGCUGGAGAUUCUCUAUUCUCAAACUUUGUAGGUAAAAUGUGAAACUCCCUACCGACCAUGCUCACCUCAGAACCUUCACUCCUACAAUU